AUAAACUGGAAGUAUAUCAGCAGUGGGAAAGGAAAGAGACAACUUCUACUGCUUCAUGAACUUGCAUGGUUAUAGGCAUAGAAUUUGCAUGCAUAGAGAAAACUGCAAAGCUACCAUUUCCCAGGCUACAAGGAAAGUGUACAUAUUGACUAGCAUGGACUAUCAGCUGUCCUUCUGAACCCAAAUUAAAGACAAGACCCGUGACAUGGUGAAGUCAGCAUGGAGGACAUCUGCCUGGCAUCCAGAAUGAUGAAGAAUAACUGAAGACAUGAGCUGAAGCCUUGCUCUUUGCCAGCUGAGCCAAGGCAAUGCCAAGAAUGUUCCCUUGUUUGCUGGAAUGUACAUUCACUGGGAGAGAAAUACACAUGGGCACCGAUGUCCAUCACACAGUUACUGUAAGUCAGAUAUGUGCUGUGGUGCAGAAAACACCUCUGCAACAUUCAUGCAAGAACAUCAGAACUGAACAAAAGUCCUUCUCAUCAGUAUCAGGGUUGGCAUUGGGUUUUGUUUCCUCGGUUUUAGAAACUGAGGAAAAGAAACCAGACUCCACGUGUGUUUUCAGACACAGCUUUGGAUGAGCUGGAGAAGUUCGAGUACUGCACUGAGAAUGCUUGUGAUUUCUGGACACUGCAUCUAGUUUGGUGAAAGCCCCAGUUUGUGGUGUAGGGGUGAUUUUGUGAGAGGAUCUGCUUUCACUGUUGCUGGUUUUUAGAAGUUAUUUCCGAUGAUUAUUCCUUCACAAAAAAAAAAAAACACUCAAGAAUUUGGAAGCAAGUGUCCUCAAAAACUAAAGUCAAAUAAAACAUUUGAUUUAUAAUCUUAUCAUUUCUAAGGCAGCCACCUUAUUUUUGAAUGCUUGUGAUUGAGAUCACUGUUAAUUGAAGAUGAUGCCUUCAAAUUAGCCCACUGUGGAGGUAUCUCAUUGCAUCAGAUCCUAAAGGAGUGAUAAUACAUCAAGUAUCUUACAUGAAAAUAAAUAAACCUCUUCCAUGCGUAUCUAACAGCUACUUCUGCUAUUAAAACUAAAGCAUUAAAAGCAGUGGAACUAUACUGAGUGCUUAUACUGCUAUUUUCUCUUUUUCUUUUUUUGCAUGUCAGUCUCAGUUUAUUCCCUUUCAGGUUAUAGUUACCACCAGUUUCACCUCUUCUACUCUGAUGCACUACUAGUG